GACAGAGGCCCCAAGCGUUAGGCGGAAUCACUGGGCUUAAAGCGUGUGUAGGCGGAUCGUUAAGUGUCUUGUGAAAUCCCACGGCUCACCCGUGGAACUGCUGGGCAUACUGGCGAUCUUGGGCCAACUAGGGGCAGUCGGAACAAGCGGUGGAGCGGUGAAAUGCGUAGAUAUCGCUUGGAACGCCGAAGGUGAAAACAGACUGCUGGGGUUGUGCCGACGCUGAGACACGAAAGCCAGGGGAGCAAACGGG
rnacentral:rRNA from 1 species